UUUAAACUUGCGGCACAGGAAAUUUUUCCUCAAUGCAUGUAAGAGCUGUUUGAUUCCCCAAAGAAAAAGACUUGGCAAGUCAGUUAUGAGGAAAGUAGAAACCCUGAACACAUGAGCACAUUUUAACAAUGUCCAAGUGUAACUUUUAUUGCCAACAGUAGACAUGCACUGGAAUUUGAAUCACAGCCCACAAGCUAAGUGCAGUUGUUUUUAUCUAUGUGGAGAACAUUGCGGUUUUCUUCUGAGUGAAGAAUACUAUCAGGUCUAGUAAGAAUAAGAGGAAACAAAAUUUUAUUGGCAUUCUCAAUAAAGAUAAAGCCAAGAUGUCACCUGCCAGUACAAUGAAGAGGGAUUGGGAUCUUGGCAAUAAAAGGUAAACUUGGAAUUUCAGCAGCCUAGGACUUUGCUGUCACUAUUUGACAGCGUCUUUACAAGACAAUCCUGGGUUGCCCCAUCAGAAAUACUAAGCCUUUUGUGCUGUGUGAUCUUAAUUUUGUUUAAUGUAUUUCAUGAUUUUGUGAUAAGGCCUAGGUGACAUUUAAACAUUUAUUAACAAACUUGAGGUUUUCUGUAGGACUAGAUCAGUUGGUCCAAUUAAUCAGAUCCAUUUACAAAUCUGAUAAAAAAUAUUUAGGAGUGCCUAUUAACUUUAGGAGUUUUUUGGGUCAGUUGAUGGUGUGACUGCUGGCAUAUAGACAUUGUGACCAAAGAAUUCAGGCACAGUUAUAUCAAUUGUUGUAAAUUGUUUUUCUAUGCCUUUAGUACCAAAUAAAUUGUGAUCAUUAGGACAGCAUUUUUUUCUAUUAACUUGCUUUUACAUCUUAUUCUUUAACUUAAAGCAAGAUUGCAUGAUAAAGUAUAUAUUUGCAAGACCCAGACCAUCUAUUAAUUUGACUAAUUUUAUCAUACCAAUAAUUUGAUCACAUAAUAAAUAGAUUAUAUCAUAUAGAUGUGCAACAUGGAUUUCAGCAUACAGUAAAUAUUCUCACUGAAGGAGAAGCAACACUGAGCUAGCCAUGAAGUGGCUCAACAUAUUUUGAAACAUAAAGUGAACAAGUGCCAUUCAGAGUUUUCCUUUAAAUUUGCAUUGUUGGAAGGAUAUUAAAUCCAAGCUCAU
rnacentral:lncRNA from 1 species